rnacentral:rRNA from 1 species
GAGACCCUUGCCGAUAAUUGCUAGCCGUGGUAGCAAUACCGCGGAGGCUAGUUAUCGGGACUGCCGCUGCUAAAGCGGAGGAAGGAGAGGGCCACGGCAGGUCAGUAUGCCCCGAAACUCCUGGGCCACACGCGGGCUGCAAUGGUAGGGACAGUGGGUCCCAACCUCGACAGAGGGAGGCAAUCCUCAAACCCUACCCCAGUUGUGAUUGAGGGCUGAAACCCGCCCUCAUGAAUAUGGAAUCCCUAGUAACCGCGUGUCAUCACCGCGCGGUGAAUAC